CCUACGGGGGGCAGCAGUAGGGAAUAUUGCUCAAUGGGGGAAACCCUGAAGCAGCAACGCCGCGUGGAGGAUGAAGGUUCUAGGAUUGUAAACUCCUUUUGUGAGAGAAGAUACUGACGGUACCUCACGAAUAAGCACCGGCUAACUCCGUGCCAGCAGCCGCGGUAAUACGGAGGGCGCAAGCGUUACUCGGAAUCACUGGGUGUAAAGGGUGCGUAGGCGGGAUUGUAAGUUAGGUGUGAAAUUCUGUGGGUUAACUAUAGAACUGCAGUUGAAACUAUCUGUCUUGAGUGUGGGAGAGGUAGGUGGAAUUCUUGGUGUAGGGGUAAAAUCCAUAGAUAUCACGCAGAACCCUGAUUGCGAAGGCGACCUACUGGAGCAUAACUGACGCUGAUGCACGAAAGCGUGGGGAUCAAACAGGAUUAGAUACCCGAGUAGUC
rnacentral:rRNA from 1 species